AGAAAGUCAAUUUAAGCUUCUAACUUAAUAAACAGGAUUACCCUACUUUCUU
rnacentral:tRNA from 1 species